UCCGUAGGGUGCAAGCGUUGUCCGGAAUUAUUGGGCGUAAAGAGCUCGUAGGCGGUCUGUCGCGUCGGCUGUGAAAACCCGAGGCUCAACCUCGGGCCUGCAGUCGAUACGGGCAAACUAGAGUACUGCAGGGGAGACUGGAAUUCCUGGUGUAGCGGUGAAAUGCGCAGAUAUCAGGAGGAACACCGGUGGCGAAGGCGGGUCUCUGGGCAGUAACUGACGCUGAGGAGCGAAGGCGUGGGGAGCGAACAGG
rnacentral:rRNA from 1 species